rnacentral:rRNA from 2 species
CUGCGGAAGGAUCAUUAUUGA